rnacentral:rRNA from 1 species
UACAGAGGGGGCAAGCGUUGUUCGGAAUUACUGGGCGUAAAGAGCGCGCAGGCGGUCGUUCAAGUCGAGUGUGAAAGCCCCCGGCUCAACUGGGGAGGGUCACUCGAUACUGAUCGACUCGAAGGCAGGAGAGGGAAGUGGAAUUCCCGGUGUAGUGGUGAAAUGCGUAGAUAUCGGGAGGAACACCAGUGGCGAAGGCGACUUCCUGGCCUGUUCUUGACGCUGAGGCGCGAAAGCUAGGGGAGCAAACGGG